GAGGGUGCUGGGGAAGAAGGUGGUGGUGGUGGCGGCGGAGUUUCACAGGGUUUGGGGGGCGGUGGAGAUGAAGGCAUAGGUGGGGGCGGUGACUGAUACUGGUAAGGCGGCGAAGGUGGCGGAGAGGGGGGUGGUGGUGAUGCAUAAUGGUAAGGCGGCGAAGGUGGUGGAGGUGAAGGUGAUGGCGGAGGCUUAUAGUGGACUGGUGGUGGUGGAGAUGGUGACGGCGGCGGUGGUGAGGGAGGUGGCGGCAUGUAAUAUACCGGUGGUGGCGGUGGAGGUUCUAUGCACGGAGGUGGUGAUGGUGGCGGUGGAGGUUCUAUGCAUGGAGGUGGUGAUGGUGGCGGUGGAGGCUCAAUACACGGAGGUGGAGGAGGAGGUGAAUUAGGUGGUGGAGGCGGCGAGUACAGUGGAGGUGGGGGAGGUGAUGGAUAGUGAUAUGUAGGUGGUGGCGGUGAAUUAGGUGGCGGAGGUGGUGAAUGAGGUGGUGGAGGCGGCGAAGGUUGAGGUGGUGGUGGUGAUGGGUAAGGAGGCGGCGGAGAAUAAUGUGGGCUGGGUGGUGGGGGAGGCGGAAAAUAGACCGGAGGCGGCGGCGAGUUGGGCGGCGGAGGUGGUGGAGACCGAACACAGUAGACGGGCGGAG
rnacentral:lncRNA from 1 species